GGGGGGGGGGGGGGGGGGGCGGGGGGGGGGGGGGGCGGGCGGGGGGGCGGGGGGGGUGUGGGGUGGUCGGGGGGCGCGCGGGUGGGUAAGACGUGAGUGGCCGGCCCGUGACUUUGGGGGAGCUUCAGGAACCUGGGGCUAAUACCGGAUAGGAGCCCCUGCUGCAUGGGGGGGGUUGGAAAGUUUCGGCGGUUGGGGAUGGACGCGCGGCUUAUCAGCUUGUUGGUGGGGUAGUGGAUGACCAAGGCUUUGACUGGUAGCCGGCCUGCGCGGGUGACCGGCCACAUUGGGACUGAGAUACGGCCCAGACUCCUACGGGAGGCAGCAGUGGGGAAUAUUGCACAAUGGGCGGAAGCCUGAUGCAGCAACGCCGCGUGCGGGAUGACGGCCUUCGGGUUGUAAACCGCUUUCGCCUGUGACGAAGCGUGAGUGACGGUAAUGGGUAAAGAAGCACCGGCUAACUACGUG
rnacentral:rRNA from 1 species